UACGUAGGUGGCAAGCGUUAUCCGGAUUUAUCGGGCGUAAAGAGAACGCAGGCGGUCUUUUAAGUCUGAUGUGAAAGCCUUCGGCUUAACCGGAGUAGUGCAUUGGAAACUGGGAGACUUGAGUGCAGAAGAGGAGAGUGGAACUCCAUGUGUAGCGGUGAAAUGCGUAGAUAUAUGGAAGAACACCAGUGGCGAAAGCGGCUCUCUGGUCUGUAACUGACGCUGAGGUUCGAAAGCGUGGGUAGCAAACAGG
rnacentral:rRNA from 1 species